CGUUAAGGGGAGCGAAAUCAAGUAGCGAAGCCGGUGACCGUAACUGUCAAGAAAAGCCGCUAUUGUAUCAUGUCAGCCCGUACCGCAAACCGACACAGGUGGAUGAGGAGAGAAUCCUAAGGCCGGCGGGAGAAGCAUUGUUAAGGAACUCGGCAAAAUGACCCCGUAACUUCGGGAGAAGGGGUGCUGCAGAGAUGCAGCCGCAGAGAAAAGGCUCAAGCAACUGUUUAGCAAAAACACAGGUCUAUGCGAAACCGUAAGGUGAAGUAUAUGGGCUGACGCCUGCCCGGUGCUGGAAGGUUAAGAGGAGAGGUCAGCGGGGAAACCCGCGAAGCUUUGAAUUUAAGCCCCAGUAAACGGCGGCCGUAACUAUAACGGUCCUAAGGUAGCGAAAUUCCUUGUCGGGUAAGUUCCGACCCGCACGAAAGGCGUAAUGAUUUGAGCGCUGUCUCAACAAUGCACCCGGUGAAAUUGAAGUACCAGUGAAGAUGCUGGUGACCUGCGCCAGGACGGAAAGACCCCAUGGAGCUUUACUCUAGUUUGAUACCGGGAUCCGGUGUUACUCGUACAGGAUAGGUGGGAGGCUACGAAGUAUGGACGCCAGUCUAUACGGAGCCGCUGUUGGGAUACCACCCCUGUGGCACUGGGUUUCUAACCUGCGUCCAUUAUCUGGACGGGGGACAAUGUCAGAUGGGGAGUUUGACUGGGGCGGUCGCCUCCGAAAGAGUAUCGGAGGCGCUCAAAGGUUCCCUCAGAAUGGUUGGAAACCAUUCGCAGAGCGCAAAGGCAGAAGGGAGCUUGACUGCGACACCGACGGGUGGAGCAGGUACGAAAGUAGGACUUAGUGAUCCGGUGGUAUAAAGUGGGAUUGCCAUCGCUCAACGGAUAAAAGCUACCCUGGGGAUAACAGGCUUAUCACUCCCAAGAGUUCACAUCGACGGAGUGGUUUGGCACCUCGAUGUCGGCUCAUCACAUCCUGGGGCUGAAGUCGGUCCCAAGGGUUGGGCUGUUCGCCCAUUAAAGUGGUACGCGAGCUGGGUUCAGAACGUCGUGAGACAGUUCGGUCCCUAUCCGGCGCGGGCGUAAGAUAUCUGAGAGGAGCUGUCCUUAGUACGAGAGGACCGGGAUGGACUGACCACUGGUGUACCGGUUGGGGAGCAACCCCACGGCCGGGUAGCCAAGUCGGGCCGGGAUAAACGCUGAAGGCAUCUAAGCGUGAAGCCCCCCUCAAGAUGGGAUAUCUCAUGCGAGAGUAGUAAGACCCCUUUAAGACUAAGAGGUAGAUAGGGCAGAGGUGUAAGCGUAGCGAUACGUUCAGCUGACUGUCACUAAUCGGUCGAGGGUUUAACCA
rnacentral:rRNA from 1 species